rnacentral:rRNA from 1 species
GCAAGUUGCGCCCAAAGCCAUUAGACCAAUGGCACGUCUGCCUGGGCGUCACGCAUCGCGUCGCCCCCUCGCAUUGUACCUUAAUCACGGGGUGUGAUAUCAUCGCGGUGUGUAUAUUGGCCUCCCGUGCACCUCGAGCUCGUGGCUGGCCUAAAUGUGAGUCUCCAUUGAUGGACAUCACAUCAAGUGGUGGUUCUAACUCAACUCCCUUUGCUGUCAAAGCUACUGCCCGUUGUGCGUUUGGACACCCUGAUCUUACCUCUAUUAGGCGCUCUAACAGUGACCCCGGGUCGGCAACUGCACAUUUCGAACGAUGGCCUGUAGUCUCCCCAUUCGACCCAUCUUGAAACACAGACCAAGAAGUCUGACAUCUGUGUGAAUAAAUGGGAGAGAAAACCCAUAAUGCGCAAGGAAUCUGAUUGGUGGGAUCCCUUUAAGGGGUGCACCGCCUACCGACCUUGAUAUUCUGAGAAUGGUUCAAGUGUGAGCAUACCUAUCGGGACCCAAAAAAUAGUGAACAAUGCCUGAGCGGGGCAAAGCCAUAGAAAACUCUAGUAGAGGCCCGCAGCGCUACUGACGUGCACAUAGUUCGUCUGACUUGGGUAUAGGUGCGAAAGACUAAUCGAACUAUCUAGUAGCUGGUUCUCUCCGAAGUUUCCCCUAUGAUAGCUGGAACUCACGAGCGAUUUUUAUCGGGGAAAGCCAAUGAUUAGAGGCCUUAGGGGCACAAUGCCCUCGACCUAUUCUCAAACUUUAAAUAGGUAGGACAAUGCGGCUGCUUUGCUGAGCUACGCCACAGAAUCAAGAGCUCCAAGUAGGACAUUUUUGGUAAGCAGAACUGGUGAUAUGGGAUAAACCAAAAGUCCGGUUAUGGUGCCAAACUGCACAUUAACCUAGAUGCCACAAAGGGUGUUGGUUGAUUAAGACAGCAGGAUGAUGGUCAUUGAAGUCGAAAUUCACUAAAGAAUGUGUAACAACUCACUUUCUGAAUCAACUAGCCCAAAAAAUGGAUGGCGCUUAAACGCGCGACCUACACUCGGUUGUAAGGGCAAGUGCCAGGCCUCAAUGAGUAGGAGGGCGUGAUGGUCGUUGUAAAACCUUGGGCGCGAUCCUAGGUGGAGCGGCCGUCGGUGCAGAUCUUAGUGGUAGUAGAAAAUAUUCAAAUGAGAACUUUGAAGGCUGAAGAGGAGAGAGGUUCCAUGUGAACGACACUUGCAUAUGGGUUAGUCGAUCCUAAGGGUCCGGGGAACCCCGAUAGUAGUGCAUUUUGCACGUACUCCAAAAGGGAAUUGGGUUACAAUUCCUAAAUCGAGAUAUGGCGGUUGACGGCAACAUUAAGAAGUUUGGAUACGUCAGCGAGAGCCUUAGGAAGAGUUAUCUUUUUUGUUUAAUAGUCUGCCCACUCUGGAAUCGGCUCAGCCAUAGGUAGGGUUUAGCGGCUGGAAGAGCACCGCACGCCGCGUAGUGUCCGAUGCUCUCCCGACGGCCCUUGAAAAUCUAAAGGACCGAAUUCCAUCCACUCCCGAUCAUACUCAUAACUGUAUUAGGUCUCCAAGGUGAACAACCUCUAGUCGAUGGAACAAUGUAGGCAAGGAAAGUCGGUAAAAUGGAUCCGUAACUUUGGGAAAAGGAUUGACUCUGAGGGCUGGGCAUAGGGGUCCGAGUCCCGAACCCAUUAGUUGUCGGUUACUGCACGAGCUACUCCCACAGCAAGAGCGGUUUUCCGCGUACCAGUCGGGGGAUAGACAGGGAACAGUUCCUUCGAGGGCCUUUCCCGCGCGUAAAACAACCAACUCAGAACUGGUACGAACAAGGGGAAUCCGACUGUUUAACUAAAACAAAGCAUUAUGAUUAUUCCAAUGGAUGUUCACGCUAUGUGAUAUCUGCCCAGUGCUCUAAUUGUCAAAGUGAAGAAAUUUAACCAAGCGUAGGUAAACGGCGGGAGUAACUAUGACUCUCUUAAGGUAGCCAAAUGCCUCGUCAUCUAAUUACUGACGCACAAGAAUGGAUUAACGAGAUUCCCACUAUCCUUGUCUACUAUUCUUCCAAGCCACAGCCAAGGGAAUGUGCUUGGCAAAAUCAGUGGGGAAAAAAGACCCUGUAAAGCUUGACUCUAGUUCGACUUUGUGAAAUGACAUGAGAGGUUUAGUAUAAGUGGGAGCCGAAAGGCGAAAGUAAAAUACCACCACUUUUAACGUUAGUUUAUAUAUUUCGUGAAUUGGAAGCGGGGCACUGCCCCUAUUUUUGGACCCAAGGCUUGCUCUGCGGGCCGAUCCGGAUGGAAGACAUUGUCAGGUGGGGAGUUUGGCUGGGGCGGCACAUCUGUUAAAAGAUAAAGCAGGUGUCUGAAGAUGAGCUCAACAAGAACAAAAAAUCUCAUAUGGAAUAGAAAGGUAAAAGCUCAUUUGAUUAUGAUUUCCAGUACGAAUACGAUCCAUGAAAGCAUGGCCUAAUGAUCCUUUAGACUUUCAAAAUUCAAAGAUAUGGGGGUCAGAAAAGUUACCACUGGGAUUACUGGUUUAUGGCAGCAAAGCAUUCAUAUAGAUGUUGCUUUCUAAUGCUUCGAUGUUGACUGCUCCUAUCAUUAUGAAGUAGAAUUCACCUGUGUUGGAUUGUUCACCGACCAAAAGGGAACAUGAUCUGAGUUUAGACCAUCGUAAGACAGAUUAGUUUUGUCCUACUGAUGACAGUAUCGCAAUAGUAAUUCAACCUAGUACGAGAGAAACAAUUGAUUCUUAUAAUUGGUCAUCGUAUUUGGUUGAAAAGCUAGUGGCACGAAGCUAACAUGUGCUGGAUUAUAACUGAAUGCCUCUAAGUCAAAAUCCAGGCUAGAAGCAACGCAUGCGCUGACCGUCUACUUGCCGACCAACAGUAGGGGCCUCAUCCCCCAAGGGCACGUGUCGUUGGCUAAGCCACCGCGGCAAAAGGGUCGCAGUGGCCUCU